UACGUAGGGGGCAAGCGUUGUCCGGAUUUAUUGGGCGUAAAGAGCGUGUAGGCGGUUAGGUAGGUCCGUUGUGAAAACUCGAGGCUCAACCUCGAGACGCCGAUGGAAACCAUCUAACUAGAGUCCGGAAGAGGAGAGUGGAAUUCCUGGUGUAGCGGUGAAAUGCACAGAUAUCAGGAAGAGCACCCGUGGCUAAGGCGGCUCUCUAGUACGGUACUGACGCUGAGACGCGAAAGCGUGGGGAGCGAACAGG
rnacentral:rRNA from 1 species